rnacentral:rRNA from 1 species
UAAACGACUCUCGGCAACGGAUAUCUCGGCUCACGCAUCGAUGAAGAACGUAGCGAAAUGCGAUACUUGGUGUGAAUUGCAGAAUCCCGUGAACCAUCGAGUUUUUGAACGCAAGUUGCGCCCGAAGCCUUCUGGCUGAGGGCACGUCUGCCUGGGCGUCACGC